AUGCUUAUACAUGCAGUCGAACGAGAAGUCACUUCGGUGGCGAGUACAGUGGCGCACGGGUGAGUAACGCGUAGAUGAUCUACCCUUCAGUCUGGGACAACUCUUGGAAACGAGAGCUAAUACCGGAUAAAACCUUCGGGUUGAAAGAUUUAUCGCUGGGGGAUGAGUCUGCGUACCAUUAGCUUGUUGGUGGGGUAACGGCCUACCAAGGCGACGAUGGUUAGCGGGUCUGAGAGGACGAUCCGCCACACUGGAACUGAGACACGGUCCAGACUCCUACGGGAGGCAGCAGUAGGGAAUAUUGCGCAAUGGGGGCAACCCUGACGCAGCAAUGCCGCGUGAGUGAAGAAGGCCUUCGGGUCGUAAAGCUCUUUCGCCUGUGAUGAUAAUGACAGUAGCAGGUAAAGAAACCCCGGCUAACUCCGUGCCAGCAGCCGCGGUAAUACGGAGGGGGUUAGCGUUGUUCGGAAUUACUGGGCGUAAAGCGCGCGUAGGCGGAUUAG
rnacentral:rRNA from 1 species